AUCAGACUUCACCAUUCCUACGAUGUUGGUUUCACGACGUUAGGAAUAUGGUCACAUUCCUGAAUGUUUUGACACGAAAACAUCGCGCAUUUUCUCGAGCGAGAAGAAAAAUCCGCGGUGUGGGUAAUCGGGAAAAAUUCUGAGCUCAUUAGUUGAGCUCUAAUUAAUUUAAUUACUAUAGAGGAACUUUUACAGCGUUUAUAUUGGCGACACAUGUUGGGAUCCCCUCGCUGAUCCCUUAACACUGGACAGCGCACUACUAUGCUAAUGAAAGCAACAUUUCCCAUAUUGGUGUGACCACCAUAAAUUUAUUGUGUUCCUGACAUGUUGCAGAACUUCAACUUCAACUUUAUUUAAACACGGUACUAUUUCACAGUAUAUUAAAAUAUAUUAUUUACAAAAACAACCAGAAAAAAGUGAUCUUCCAAUAGGCCGUGUGCUAACUACAAUAAAUAUAAAAAAAAUUUAUAACUUAACAUUAUAUCAAUCUACAUUGUUUUACCCCACUCUUAAAAGUUGCUAUACUUCCUAGCGACUUCAGGUCAAUUGGGAGAGCAUUCCAAGUCUCCGCACCUCUGUAGGCC